rnacentral:rRNA from 1 species
CACGCCGUAAACUAUGAUUACUAGUUGUUUGCGAUAUAUUGUAAGCGACUGCGCGAAAGCAUUAAGUAAUCCACCUGGGGAGUACGUUGGCAACAAUGAAACUCAAAGGAAUUGACGGGGGCCCGCACAAGCGGAGGAACAUGUGGUUUAAUUCGAUGAUACGCGAGGAACCUUACCUGGGCUUAAAUGGGGAGUGACAGGCUUGGAAACAGGUCCUUCUUCGGACACUCUUCAAGGUGC